GAGGAUCCAAGCGUUAUCCGGAUUUAUUGGGUUUAAAGGGUGCGGAGGCGGUUUUAUAAGUUAGAGGUGAAAUGUUCGGGCUUAACCCGGAAACUGCCUCUGAUACUGUAGGACUAGAGAGUAGUUGCGGUAGGCGGAAUGUAUGGUGUAGCGGUGAAAUGCUUAGAUAUCAUACAGAACACCGAUUGCGAAGGCAGCUUACCAAACUAUAUCUGACGUUGAGGCACGAAAGCGUGGGGAGCAAA
rnacentral:rRNA from 1 species